rnacentral:rRNA from 1 species
UAGGGAAUCUUCGGCAAUGGACGGAAGUCUGACCGAGCAACGCCGCGUGAGUGAAGAAGGUUUUCGGAUCGUAAAGCUCUGUUGUAAGAGAAGAACGAGUGUGAGAGUGGAAAGUUCACACUGUGACGGUAUCUUACCAGAAAGGGACGGCUAACUACGUGCCAGCAGCCGCGGCAAUACGUAGGUCCCGAGCGUUGUCCGGAUUUAUUGGGCGUAAAGCGAGCGCAGGCGGUUAGAUAAGUCUGAAGUUAAAGGCUGUGGCUUAACCAUAGUAGGCUUUGGAAACUGUUUAACUUGAGUGCAAGAGGGGAGAGUGGAAUUCCAUGUGUAGCGGUGGAAUGCGUAGAUAUAUGGAGGAACACCGGUGGCGAAAGCGGCUCUCUGGCUUGUAACUGACGCUGAGGCUCGAAAGCGUGGGGAGCAAACAGGAUUAGAUACCCUGGUAGUCCACGCUGUAAACGAUGAGUGCUAGGUGUUAGACCCUUUCCGGGGUUUAGUGCCGUAGCUAACGCAUUAAGCACUCCGCCUGGGGAGUACGACCGCAAGGUU